GUCGAACGAUGAUCCCUAGCUUGCUGGGGGGAUUAGUGGCGAACGGGUGAGUAACACGUGAGUAACCUGCCCUUGACUCUGGGAUAAGCCUGGGAAACUGGGUCUAAUACUGGAUACGACCUUCUAUCGCAUGGUGGUUGGUGGAAAGCUUUUGUGGUUUUGGAUGGACUCGCGGCCUAUCAGCUUGUUGGUGGGGUAAUGGCCUACCAAGGCGACGACGGGUAGCCGGCCUGAGAGGGUGGACGGCCACACUGGGACUGAGACACGGCCCAGACUCCUACGGGAGGCAGCAGUGGGGAAUAUUGCACAAUGGGCGCAAGCCUGAUGCAGCGACGCCGCGUGAGGGAUGAAGGCCUUCGGGUUGUAAACCUCUUUCAGUAGGGAAGAAGCGAAAGUGACGGUACCUGCAGAAGAAGCGCCGGCUAACUACGUGCCAGCAGCCGCGGUAAUACGUAGGGCGCAAGCGUUAUCCGGAAUUAUUGGGCGUAAAGAGCUCGUAGGCGGUUUGUCGCGUCUGCCGUGAAAGUCCGGGGCUUAACUCCGGAUCUGCGGUGGGUACGGGCAGACUUGAGUGAUGUAGGGGAGACUGGAAUUCCUGGUGUAGCGGUGAAAUGCGCAGAUAUCAGGAGGAACACCGAUGGCGAAGGCAGGUCUCUGGGCAUUAACUGACGCUGAGGAGCGAAAGCAUGGGGAGCGAACAGGAUUAGAUACCCUGGUAGUCCAUGCCGUAAACGUUGGGCACUAGGUGUGGGGGACAUUCCACGUUUUCCGCGCCGUAGCUAACGCAUUAAGUGCCCCGCCUGGGGAGUACGGCCGCAAGGCUAAAACUCAAAGGAAUUGACGGGGGCACAAGCGGCGGAGCAUGCGGAUUAAUUCGAUGCAACGCGAAGAACCUUUACCAAGGGCUUGACAUGAAACUCGGAACGGCGCA
rnacentral:rRNA from 1 species